AUGGCUCCUUCCUGUGACUCCCUCGUUCUGCUGGGGGACUUUAACGCUCACGUGGGCAACGGCAGUGAGACCUGGAGAGGUGUCAUUGGCAGCACGUCUGGCCGAAGGAAUGUCAUGAGCCGGGAUGAGUACUCCUCUCAACAUUCCACCUUUGAGCUGUGUGUUGCAGGAGAGGGAGGUUCCCAGCUGCACGUGGCUUGCAAUCAGCGGGCCCGGCUACAUAAGGAGGAUGAAGAACACACCUUGACACCGGAUGAUUACUACAGCUUGGUUUUUGGAACGUCUCUGGUUUCAGCGACCCCUCAGGAUUACUCACCCAUGCCCCAAAGGACUUCUGUACUCGACCUGCCCUCCCUCAUUCCUGUGCUUCCCCAACUCCCAGUAAGUCUUUUCUCUGCACCCACCAAGUUAAGACUUACCUCCCUGGACUCACCUGUAUCUGCUCUCCCCUUCUCAGGCGCUGCACUCCCGUUUCUCGAUCCCCACUGGACUUACCAGUGCACCUUCUGAUCCCGUUUUAAAAUUAAUAUUAUUUUUUACCAUCAUUCUGUGAGUUGUUGUGAUUCUGCAUGUCUUGGGUCAGACGUAUCCCCAAAUCAUGUCAGAGCACUGUUGUCAUCACCCCAUUUUUCCACUCCACAGGCAUUAGAUUGCACUUGAAAGUAUUUUUGUUUUUAUUCACCACAUUCCCAAUAUUGGUAAAGAAAUGACAAACUUUAUCUUUAACUUUUUUUGGCUCCUGCACCACAUCUCCUGUUCAAGUUUUUGGAGAUUGAGAGUCUCAAUCUGGGCUUUAGUUGGGUUUGGAAAACUCAGAUGCUCCCACAUGUACAGAAAUCCCAUGUUGGUAUGGCUACACAUCAUAACAGAUGGGGGAAAAGGCCAGCAGAAAUUAUUUAGGCAGCAUGAUGUCCAAAACAACAUGGGGAAAUUAGUAUUUUAACGCACAAGUACACAACAAAACUCUCGUAUUAACUCUCAAGAAUAAAUAACAAAGAGUGUAGCCAGUGUUUUUAUUACCCUGAAGGUUUUUUCCUUUUUUUUUUUUGUUGGUUGAAACAAGCAUCUAAUGGUAAAUUACUAUGCAGCUCAGGAAAAAUAUGUAAAAGAAAAGAAGAAAAGCUUUUAUAACAGAGAAAAAACUAUUACCACAUGAAUUAUUAAUUUACAUAAUAAUAAUAAUAAUAAUAAUAAUAAUAAUAAUAAUAAUAAUUAUUAUUGUUAUUAUUAUUAUUAUUACUAUUAUUAUUAUUAUUAUAUGUAGUUUGGCUGUGCUGCAGGACAAAUGACGUGAUGUUGCAAUGAAGCCAAUUAGACUGGAUGUAGAUUGGUGUGUGGGUAUACAGUAUACCCAUACUAACAAUAAUUUUGUAAUCCUAAAUGUUUAUACUCCAUAUGAAGCAAAUGAAAAUGAAGGACAACAUCUUAGCUGAUUGGCUUUAAUUAAUGCUUUUAUUCAAGGUCACAGUACUUACCCUUCUGAGACCCAGACAAAAAAGUGGCAUCAAUUUUCUUUUUUGUACAAUUUCCUGUUUAUUUAGACCAAAAUGAACACCUCACCAUUUUUUUACUUUAAUUGUACAAGUACCCUUUGCACCGACGUCACCUAAUCACGUUGGUCCGCCAUGAUGGACGUCGGAAGUAGUAAAACGCUAGCGACAGAAAUUAAGAGAAGAAACGGUAAAAUGUAAAUAGAAGACAAAUGGUGGUUAGUUUUAGUUUUUAUAACUGUAGCCAUGGCUUAUUCUUGUCAUUAAGAUGUUGUGCAGUUGUCGGUUGAGGUCAGUCACUUUGUAGGUCUCAACAAAGAGCAGUAUUUGGAGAAGCUGAAGAAUGCGGGAUUACAUACUGACCCGUACCUUUUUCCUCCUGGCAUUUUCACGGACUUAACUAAAUCGUCAAGCCUGCCUGACUUCAGUCCACACGGCCUGUACCACUAUGUUAUCAAUGGAGUAUCCCCGUACACCGGUGCAGAUCUAAAGGCGUACAAAAGUCUAGACGCGUACCAGUUUUUCGUUUCUGGUUGGGUGACUGAGACGCGAUGCUACGCUCAAGAAAGAGGAAUGUUCCUCAUUAUGGCAAAAGUAAGACCUUAAUAUUUAUCAUCAUGUUAUAAAAGAAAUCAUUUUACAUGCUCUUUAAUUGUAAGAUCUGACAAAUACUUUCGUGUUACAUUGUAGUGCUGCAUAACUGUCGAUUACAUAGAAAUGGCUGCCCUGCUGCAAUUACAUUACCCCUGUGACUGAUAAAUCUCUUCCUAUCAUGUAUAUUUCAAUUAUAUUAUUUCAAAAAUAUAAAACACUAUAAAUGUUGGUAAUAAUAAUAUGCAGAGCAUUUUAUAAAAAAAUAAUCAUGCUGCUGUCUGUAUUUUCAGGUUCACCAUAGUCAGUCAUUGUCUGAAGCCCAACUAAAACCCUGGCUGUAUUAAAAAAAGGAUGGGACGGUUGUAUGUCGUCACUGUAUAUGUAAAGCAGGCAUAGGAGAGGUGUGCUCCCACGUAACAGCUCUACUGUAUGCACUAGAUUCUGCUGUGAAACAUCUGGAAGACAGAAGCUGUGCUGACGGACCCAGACUGUGGGGAUUUCCUCCUGUGAAAGCAGGUAAAGCUCUCUAUGAGGAGGGAUCAGGAAUUGAUUUUACAACACCUGCAAAGAAGCACUGUGGUCGUGUGAACAACAAAUGCCAUUCAGACCAUACAGGGAAAAAAAUUGAUGUGAGUGCAGCAGCCAUAGAAAAAUUCUAUAAGGACCUGGAUAAUGCUGCCUCAAACCCUUCAGAGAAGAGUGGCCUUCUAAGAAUAUUACCACAGUUCUGUAACCAGUUCCAACCAAAGGUGGUGUCCAGUGGCGGCUGGUGAAAAAUAUUUUUGGUGGGGCUGUGCUAUUUUUUUUUAAACAAACUUGUGCUUUCUGAGCUUUGUGCACAACUUCACUAUUUCCUGAAUUAAGCACAGCUCUUUUAUUUCCUGUCUUACAUCAUUGGACAAACUGAUUAAUCCAGGUGUGUCUGACUAUUGGCAAACUGGCUUGCGGACCAAGGUUGAAAAAUACUGCAUUAAAUUGCACAUAAAAUAACAUGACCAUAAAUGGUAAAUAGGCAAUGCAAGAGGCAAGUAACAAAAACAUUUUGUUUAAUUUCAACAUUUGAGUGAACACGAAAAAUUAUGAGCAGGUCACUGUUACAGUAAUGGUAGUAAACACUACUUAGACAAAAUGCCAGAAAUUUACACUGUUAGGACUUAUGGAAAGUGGAAACACUUUCAUAGGAAAUAAUGUCAUCAGUAUCCUCUUACAAAUGUCAUAUUUCCCACUUUUUGGGACAAUAAAACAUUUCUGGUUCUCAAUGAGAUGUUUUUACUUCAAAUGUAAAAACAUCUCAUUGAGAAUCAGAAAUGUUUUAUUGUCCCAAAAGCUGGGAAAUUUGUUUGCUGCAGCAGAAGUGUAACAAGUAAAAUGGAAUCAGAUUGAUGUAUGUACAAAUUUACUUGAAAUACACAUUUACAUGAUUAAAUAUGUAUAAUAGGUAUGUGUGUUGAAAUUAGUUUUUACAGUUAUUGCACAUUAAACAAUGUACAUGUUAUUAAACAAAUGUCCCGGUUUGUGGGACAACCAAGGAUUUCUGAUUCUGAUUGUCUUGUUUACAGAAAUGUAAUGUACAGCUUACCUCUGCACCCAGCUGCUGUUCUCCCUGUCCAAACGUCCUCCGUUUCUUUGUUGGCUGCUGCACUGAUGCGCUGCAUUCCUCAGU
ensembl:lncRNA